AUGUACCCAUGUACAUUCCGGUUCCUCCGCGCCGUCCGCACCCACCUGACGACUGCUCGCUACGUUUUGUUAGCC
rnacentral:sRNA from 1 species